ensembl:ribozyme
UAUCAGUGUUGCCAUGAGCAACAUCUAGUUCAUUUUGUUAUUCAGUGUUCACUUUGAUAUAUGCUACUUUCUGGAAGGAUGGGUUUUAAGUGGUUCCUCUCCUCUAUCCCAAUUCUGAAUCUAGCUGGCAAGUAGAAAACAAUGCAUAUAAUAAGUGAUAACUGUGGAAGUAU